rnacentral:rRNA from 1 species
UUGAACGCUGGCGGCAGGCCUCACACAUGCAAGUCGAGCGGAUGAAGGGAGCUUGCUCCUGGAUUCAGCGGCGGACGGGUGAGUAAUGCCUAGGAAUCUGCCUGGUAGUGGGGGAUAACGUCCGGAAACGGGCGCUAAUACCGCAUACGUCCUGAGGGAGAAAGUGGGGGAUCUUCGGACCUCACGCUAUCAGAUGAGCCUAGGUCGGAUUAGCUAGUUGGUGGGGUAAAGGCCUACCAAGGCGACGAUCCGUAACUGGUCUGAGAGGAUGAUCAGUCACACUGGAACUGAGACACGGUCCAGACUCCUACGGGAGGCAGCAGUGGGGAAUAUUGGACAAUGGGCGAAAGCCUGAUCCAGCCAUGCCGCGUGUGUGAAGAAGGUCUUCGGAUUGUAAAGCACUUUAAGUUGGGAGGAAGGGCAGUAAGUUAAUACCUUGCUGUUUUGUCGUUACCAACAGAAUAAGCACCGGCUAACUUCGUG